rnacentral:tRNA from 1 species
AAAAAGAUAAGCUAAUUUUAAGCUAUUAGGUUCAUACCCUGAGGAUAGAAGUUCUAACCUUCUUCUUUUUA